CAAAGAAUUACGAUCUUUCCAAAUGCUCCACAUGAUAGUGCCAAAUUUGGCACGAGCAGUGCAAUCAAAAGAAUGAAGGAUUUGGAAGAGAGCUUCCUUCCAGACCUGGAUGCUUUUGGGGCAUGUUAGGAAAACAUGUCAAGUAUUCUCCAAUCCACCAUUACAGUUAAGACAAUUACAUGGAAAUUCAAUUCCUCUUUCUCUAAAAAU
rnacentral:lncRNA from 1 species